UACGUAGGGGGCGAGCGUUGUCCGGAUUUAUUGGGCGUAAAGAGCUCGUAGGCGGCUCGGUGAGUCGGAUGUGAAAUCUUCAGGCUCAACCUGGAGAGGCCAUUCGAUACUGCUGUGGCUUGAGUCCGGUAGAGGAGCAUGGAAUUCCCGGUGUAGCGGUGAAAUGCGCAGAUAUCAGGAAGAACACCAAUGGCGAAAGCAGCUCUCUGGGACGGUACUGACGCUGAGACGCGAAAGCGUGGGGAGCGAACAGG
rnacentral:rRNA from 1 species